rnacentral:rRNA from 1 species
CUCGUAGGCGGUUCGUCGCGUCCGGUGUGAAAGUCCAUCGCUUAACGGUGGAUCCGCGCCGGGUACGGGCGGGCUUGAGUGCGGUAGGGGAGACUGGAAUUCCCGGUGUAACGGUGGAAUGUGUAGAUAUCGGGAAGAACACCAAUGGCGAAGGCAGGUCUCUGGGCCGUCACUGACGCUGAGGAGCGAAAGUGUGGGGAGCGAACA